AUUGAACGCUGGCGGCAGGCCUAACACAUGCCAGUCGAGCGGAUGAAGGGAGCUUGCUCCUGGAUCCAGCGGCGGACGGGUGAGUAAUGCCUAGGAAUCUGCCUGGUAGUGGGGGAUAACGUCCGGAAACGGGCGCUAAUACCGCAUACGUCCUGAGGGAGAAAGUGGGGGAUCUUCGGACCUCACGCUAUCAGAUGAGCCUAGGUCGGAUUAGCUAGUUGGUGGGGUAAAGGCCUACCAAGGCGACGAUCCGUAACUGGUCUGAGAGGAUGAUCAGUCACACUGGAACUGAGACACGGUCCAGACUCCUACGGGAGGCAGCAGUGGGGAAUAUUGGACAAUGGGCGAAAGCCUGAUCCAGCCAUGCCGCGUGUGUGAAGAAGGUCUUCGGAUUGUAAAGCACUUUAAGUUGGGAGGAAGGGCAGUAAGUUAAUACCUUGCUGUUUUGACGUUACCAACAGAAUAAGCACCGGCUAACUUCGUG
rnacentral:rRNA from 1 species